rnacentral:lncRNA from 1 species
GAUGAAUUAUCACUGUUAGUGCAGUCAUUAUUAAUGUAGAAUUUUCAAAGAUGCGAGGAAUUUUUAUUGUAGAAUUAUGUGAUAAAUGCACUUGCAACAAACGAAAAAACUUAGUUGAUGACUUUAGGAUUUAUGAUACAUGUAUUUUCAAAUUGAAAUACAAACUCCUCAUUCAUUCUUCAUCAAAUAUAUAGCUUUUCAAACUUGUAACAAAAGCGAUUCUCAAAAUGAAAAAUUCUAGAUCCGCGAAUGGAUACUACCGCAGAGGUAAAACCAUACACAUUUGGGUUAUU